rnacentral:rRNA from 1 species
AGAGUUUGAUCAUGGCUCAGAUUGAACGCUGGCGGCAGGCCUAACACAUGCAAGUCGAACGGUAACAGGAAGCAGCUUGCUGCUUCGCUGACGAGUGGCGGACGGGUGAGUAAUGUCUGGGAAGCUGCCUGAUGGAGGGGGAUAACUACUGGAAACGGUAGCUAAUACCGCAUAAUGUCGCAAGACCAAAGAGGGGGACCUUCGGGCCUCUUGCCAUCGGAUGUGCCCAGAUGGGAUUAGCUUGUUGGUGGGGUAACGGCUCACCAAGGCGACGAUCCCUAGCUGGUCUGAGAGGAUGACCAGCCACACUGGAACUGAGACACGGUCCAGACUCCUACGGGAGGCAGCAGUGGGGAAUAUUGCACAAUGGGCGCAAGCCUGAUGCAGCCAUGCCGCGUGUAUGAAGAAGGCCUUCGGGUUGUAAAGUACUUUCAGCGGGGAGGAAGGGAGUAAAGUUAAUACCUUUGCUCAUUGACGUUACCCGCAGAAGAAGCACCGGCUAACUCCGUGCCAGCAGCCGCGGUAAUACGGAGGGUGCAAGCGUUAAUCGGAAUUACUGGGCGUAAAGCGCACGCAGGCGGUUUGUUAAGUCAGAUGUGAAAUCCCCGGGCUCAACCUGGGAACUGCAUCUGAUACUGGCAAGCUUGAGUCUCGUAGAGGGGGGUAGAAUUCCAGGUGUAGCGGUGAAAUGCGUAGAGAUCUGGAGGAAUACCGGUGGCGAAGGCGGCCCCCUGGACGAAGACUGACGCUCUGGUGCGAAAGCGUGGGGAGCAAACAGGAUUAGAUACCCUGGUAGUCCACGCCGUAAACGAUGUCGACUUGGAGGUUGUGCCCUUGAGGCGUGGCUUCCGGAGCUAACGCGUUAAGUCGACCGCCUGGGGAGUACGGCCGCAAGGUUAAAACUCAAAUGAAUUGACGGGGGCCCGCACAAGCGGUGGAGCAUGUGGUUUAAUUCGAUGCAACGCGAAGAACCUUACCUGGUCUUGACAUCCACGGAAGUUUUCAGAGAUGAGAAUGUGCCUUCGGGAACCGUGAGACAGGUGCUGCAUGGCUGUCGUCAGCUCGUGUUGUGAAAUGUUGGGUUAAGUCCCGCAACGAGCGCAACCCUUAUCCUUUGUUGCCAGCGGUCCGGCCGGGAACUCAAAGGAGACUGCCAGUGAUAAACUGGAGGAAGGUGGGGAUGACGUCAAGUCAUCAUGGCCCUUACGACCAGGGCUACACACGUGCUACAAUGGCGCAUACAAAGAGAAGCGACCUCGCGAGAGCAAGCGGACCUCAUAAAGUGCGUCGUAGUCCGGAUUGGAGUCUGCAACUCGACUCCAUGAAGUCGGAAUCGCUAGUAAUCGUGGAUCAGAAUGCCACGGUGAAUACGUUCCCGGGCCUUGUACACACCGCCCGUCACACCAUGGGAGUGGGUUGCAAAAGAAGUAGGUAGCUUAACCUUCGGGAGGGCGCUUACCACUUUGUGAUUCAUGACUGGGGUGAAGUCGGAACAAGGUAACCGUAGGGGAACCUGCGGUUG